AUUGAACGCUGGCGGCAUGCCUUACACAUGCAAGUCGAACGGCAGCACGGACUUCGGUCUGGUGGCGAGUGGCGAACGGGUGAGUAAUGCAUCGGAACGUGCCAUUGAGUGGGGGAUAACGUAGCGAAAGUUGCGCUAAUACCGCAUAUUCUGUGAGCAGGAAAGCAGGGGACCGCAAGGCCUUGCGCUCUUUGAGCGGCCGAUGUCAGAUUAGCUAGUUGGUGAGGUAAAGGCUUACCAAGGCGACGAUCUGUAGCGGGUCUGAGAGGAUGAUCGCCACACUGGAACUGAGACACGGUCCAGACUCCUACGGGAGGCAGCAGUGGGGAAUUUUGGACAAUGGGGGCAACCCUGAUCCAGCCAUACCGCGUGAGUGAAGAAGGCCU
rnacentral:rRNA from 1 species